rnacentral:rRNA from 1 species
CUACGGGCGGCACCAGUGGGGAAUCUUGCACAAUGGAGGAAACUCUGAUGCAGCGAUGCCGCGUGAGUGAAGAAGGCCCUUGGGUUGUAAAGCUCUUUUGUCGGGAAAGAUAAUGACUGUACCCGAAGAAUAAGGUCCGGCUAACUUCGUGCCAGCAGCCGCGGUAAUACGAAGGGACCUAGCGUAAUUCGGAAUUACUGGGCGUAAAGCGCGCGUAGGCGGUUAAGUAAGUUAAUUGUGAAAGCCCAAAGCUCAACUUUGGAAUUGCAAUUAAAACUACUUAGCUAGAGUUUAUCAGAGGAAAGCGGAAUACAUAGCGUAGAGGUGAAAUUCGUAGAUAUUAUGUAGAACACCAGUUGCGAAGGCGGCUUUCUGGGAUAACACUGACGCUGAGGUGCGAAAGUAUGGGUAGCGAAGAGGAUUAGAUACCCCCGUAGUC